rnacentral:tRNA from 1 species
GCGUCUGUAGCCUAGUUGGUAAAGGCAGCACUCUAGUAUGUGUCUCCGCAUAGCUGAGGUCGUGAGUUCGACUCUCACCAGACACA